GAUGAACGCUGGCGGCGUGCCUAAUACAUGCAAGUCGAGCGAACAGACGAGGAGCUUGCUCCUCUGACGUUAGCGGCGGACGGGUGAGUAACACGUGGAUAACCUACCUAUAAGACUGGGAUAACUUCGGGAAACCGGAGCUAAUACCGGAUAAUAUAUUGAACCGCAUGGUUCAAUAGCGAAAGACGGUUUUGCUGUAACUUAUAGAUGGAUCCGCGCCGCAUUAGCUAGUUGGUAAGGUAACGGCUUACCAAGGCAACGAUGCGUAGCCGAACUGAGAGGGGGAUCGGCCACACUGGAACUGAGACACGGUCCAGACUCCUACGGGAGGCAGCAGUAGGGAAUCUUCCGCAAUGGGCGAAAGCAUGACGGAGCAACGCCGCGUGAGUGAUGAAGGUCUUCGGAUCGUAAAACUCUGUUAUGAGGGAAGAACAAAUGUGUAAGUAACCAUGCACGUCGUGACGGUACCUAAUCAGAAAGCCACGGCUAACUACGUG
rnacentral:rRNA from 1 species